rnacentral:rRNA from 1 species
GACGGAGGAUGCAAGUGUUAUCCGGAAUCACUGGGCGUAAAGCGUCUGUAGGUGGUUUAAUAAGUCAACUGUUAAAUCUUGAGGCUCAACCUCAAAAUCGCAGUCGAAACUAUUAGGCUAGAGUAUAGUAGGGGUAAAGGGAAUUUCCAGUGGAGCGGUGAAAUGCGUAGAGAUUGGAAAGAACACCGAUGGCGAAGGCACUUUACUGGGCUAUUACUAACACUCAGAGACGAAAGCUAGGGUAGCAAACGGG